AUAGAGUAUAGUUAGUGGCAGACGGGUGAGUAAUGCAUAGGAAUCUACCUAGUAGUAUGGGAUAGCCACUAGAAAUGGUGGGUAAUACUGUAUAAUCCCUGCGGGGGAAAGAUUUAUCGCUAUUAGAUGAGCCUAUGUUAGAUUAGCUAGUUGGUAGGGUAAAGGCCUACCAAGGCGAUGAUCUAUAGCUGGUCUGAGAGGAUGAUCAGCCACACUGGAACUGAGAUACGGUCCAGACUCCUACGGGAGGCAGCAGUGGGGAAUAUUGGACAAUGGGCGCAAGCCUGAUCCAGCUAUGCCGCAUGAGUGAGGAAGGCCUUAGGGUUGUAAAACUCUUUCAGUAGGGAAGAUAAUGACGGUACCUACAGAAGAAGUCCCGGCAAACUCCGUGCCAGCAGCCGCGGUAAUACGGAGGGGGCAAGCGUUGUUCGGAAUUAUUGGGCGUAAAGGGCAUGUAGGCGGUUCGGUAAGUUAAAGGUGAAAUGCCAGGGCUUAAC
rnacentral:rRNA from 1 species